rnacentral:rRNA from 1 species
GGUUAAGCGACUAAGCGUACACGGUGGAUGCCCUGGCAGUCAGAGGCGAUGAAGGACGUGCUAAUCUGCGAUAAGCGUCGGUGAGGUGAUAUGAACCGUUAUAACCGGCGAUUUCCGAAUGGGGAAACCCAGUGUGUUUCGACACACUAUCAUUAACUGAAUCCAUAGGUUAAUGAGGCGAACCGGGGGAACUGAAACAUCUAAGUACCCCGAGGAAAAGAAAUCAACCGAGAUUCCCCCAGUAGCGGCGAGCGAACGGGGAGCAGCCCAGAGCCUGAAUCAGUGUGUGUGUUAGUGGAAGCGUCUGGAAAGGCGUGCGAUACAGGGUGACAGCCCCGUACACAAAAAUGCACAUACUGUGAGCUCGAUGAGUAGGGCGGGACACGUGGUAUCCUGUCUGAAUAUGGGGGGACCAUCCUCCAAGGCUAAAUACUCCUGACUGACCGAUAGUGAACCAGUACCGUGAGGGAAAGGCGAAAAGAACCCCGGCGAGGGGAGUGAAAAAGAACCUGAAACCGUGUACGUACAAGCAGUGGGAGCCUCUUAAUGGGGUGACUGCGUACCUUUUGUAUAAUGGGUCAGCGACUUAUAUUCUGUAGCAAGGUUAACCGAAUAGGGGAGCCGAAGGGAAACCGAGUCUUAACUGGGCGUUAAGUUGCAGGGUAUAGACCCGAAACCCGGUGAUCUAGCCAUGGGCAGGUUGAAGGUUGGGUAACACUAACUGGAGGACCGAACCGACUAAUGUUGAAAAAUUAGCGGAUGACUUGUGGCUGGGGGUGAAAGGCCAAUCAAACCGGGAGAUAGCUGGUUCUCCCCGAAAGCUAUUUAGGUAGCGCCUCGUGAAUUCAUCUCCGGGGGUAGAGCACUGUUUCGGCAAGGGGGUCAUCCCGACUUACCAACCCGAUGCAAACUGCGAAUACCGGAGAAUGUUAUCACGGGAGACACACGGCGGGUGCUAACGUCCGUCGUGAAGAGGGAAACAACCCAGACCGCCAGCUAAGGUCCCAAAGUCAUGGUUAAGUGGGAAACGAUGUGGGAAGGCCCAGACAGCCAGGAUGUUGGCUUAGAAGCAGCCAUCAUUUAAAGAAAGCGUAAUAGCUCACUGGUCGAGUCGGCCUGCGCGGAAGAUGUAACGGGGCUAAACCAUGCACCGAAGCUGCGGCAGCGACGCUUAUGCGUUGUUGGGUAGGGGAGCGUUCUGUAAGCCUGCGAAGGUGUACUGUGAGGUAUGCUGGAGGUAUCAGAAGUGCGAAUGCUGACAUAAGUAACGAUAAAGCGGGUGAAAAGCCCGCUCGCCGGAAGACCAAGGGUUCCUGUCCAACGUUAAUCGGGGCAGGGUGAGUCGACCCCUAAGGCGAGGCCGAAAGGCGUAGUCGAUGGGAAACAGGUUAAUAUUCCUGUACUUGGUGUUACUGCGAAGGGGGGACGGAGAAGGCUAUGUUGGCCGGGCGACGGUUGUCCCGGUUUAAGCGUGUAGGCUGGUUUUCCAGGCAAAUCCGGAAAAUCAAGGCUGAGGCGUGAUGACGAGGCACUACGGUGCUGAAGCAACAAAUGCCCUGCUUCCAGGAAAAGCCUCUAAGCAUCAGGUAACAUCAAAUCGUACCCCAAACCGACACAGGUGGUCAGGUAGAGAAUACCAAGGCGCUUGAGAGAACUCGGGUGAAGGAACUAGGCAAAAUGGUGCCGUAACUUCGGGAGAAGGCACGCUGAUAUGUAGGUGAAGUCCCUCGCGGAUGGAGCUGAAAUCAGUCGAAGAUACCAGCUGGCUGCAACUGUUUAUUAAAAACACAGCACUGUGCAAACACGAAAGUGGACGUAUACGGUGUGACGCCUGCCCGGUGCCGGAAGGUUAAUUGAUGGGGUUAGCGGUAACGCGAAGCUCUUGAUCGAAGCCCCGGUAAACGGCGGCCGUAACUAUAACGGUCCUAAGGUAGCGAAAUUCCUUGUCGGGUAAGUUCCGACCUGCACGAAUGGCGUAAUGAUGGCCAGGCUGUCUCCACCCGAGACUCAGUGAAAUUGAACUCGCUGUGAAGAUGCAGUGUACCCGCGGCAAGACGGAAAGACCCCGUGAACCUUUACUAUAGCUUGACACUGAACAUUGAGCCUUGAUGUGUAGGAUAGGUGGGAGGCUUUGAAGUGUGGACGCCAGUCUGCAUGGAGCCGGCCUUGAAAUACCACCCUUUAAUGUUUGAUGUUCUAACGUUGGCCCCUGAUCGGGGUUGCGGACAGUGUCUGGUGGGUAGUUUGACUGGGGCGGUCUCCUCCUAAAGAGUAACGGAGGAGCACGAAGGUUGGCUAAUCCUGGUCGGACAUCAGGAGGUUAGUGCAAUGGCAUAAGCCAGCUUGACUGCGAGCGUGACGGCGCGAGCAGGUGCGAAAGCAGGUCAUAGUGAUCCGGUGGUUCUGAAUGGAAGGGCCAUCGCUCAACGGAUAAAAGGUACUCCGGGGAUAACAGGCUGAUACCGCCCAAGAGUUCAUAUCGACGGCGGUGUUUGGCACCUCGAUGUCGGCUCAUCACAUCCUGGGGCUGAAGUAGGUCCCAAGGGUAUGGCUGUUCGCCAUUUAAAGUGGUACGCGAGCUGGGUUUAGAACGUCGUGAGACAGUUCGGUCCCUAUCUGCCGUGGGCGCUGGAGAACUGAGGGGGGCUGCUCCUAGUACGAGAGGACCGGAGUGGACGCAUCACUGGUGUUCGGGUUGUCAUGCCAAUGGCACUGCCCGGUAGCUAAAUGCGGAAGAGAUAAGUGCUGAAAGCAUCUAAGCACGAAACUUGCCCCGAGAUGAGUUCUCCCUGACUCUUUAAGGGUCCUGAAGGAACGUUGAAGACGACGACGUUGAUAGGCCGGGUGUGUAAGCGCAGCGAUGCGUUGAGCUAACCGGUACUAAUGAACCGUGAGGCUUAACCUU